rnacentral:tRNA from 1 species
GGGGCCGUAGCUCAACAGGGAGAGCGCGGCGUUCGCAUCGCCGAGGUGACGGGCCCGAGUCCCAUCAGCCCCA